rnacentral:rRNA from 1 species
GAUGAACGCUGGCGGCGUGCCUAAUACAUGCGAGUCGAGCGAACGGACGAGAAGCUUGCUUCUCUGAUGUUAGCGGCGGACGGGUGAGUAACACGUGGAUAACCUACCUAUAAGACUGGGAUAACUUCGGGAAACCGGAGCUAAUACCGGAUGAUAUUUUGAACCGCAUGGUUCAAAAGUGAAAGACGGUCUUGCUGUCACUUAUAGAUGGAUCCGCGCUGCAUUAGCUAGUUGGUAAGGUAACGGCUUACCAAGGCAACGAUGCAUAGCCGACCUGAGAGGGUGAUCGGCCACACUGGAACUGAGACACGGUCCAGACUCCUACGGGAGGCAGCAGUAGGGAAUCUUCAGCAAUGGGCGAAAGCCUGACGGAGCAACGCCGCGUGAGUGAUGAAGGUCUUCGGAUCGUAAAACUCUGUUAUUAGGGAAGAACAUAUGUGUAAGUAACUGUGCACAUCUUGACGGUACCUAAUCAGAAAGCCACGGCUAACUACGUG